rnacentral:rRNA from 1 species
AAGAAAAGGUAUCUCCUAAUACGAGAUACUCCUGACGGUAUCUGCAGAAUAAGCCCCGGCUAACUACGUGCCAGCAGCCGCGGUAAUACGUAGGGUGCAAGCGUUAAUCGGAAUUACUGGGCGUAAAGCGUGUGUAGGCGGUUCGGAAAGAAAGAUGUGAAAUCCCAGGGCUCAACCUUGGAACUGCAUUUUUAACUGCCGAGCUAGAGUACGUCAGAGGGGGGUAGAAUUCCACGUGUAGCAGUGAAAUGCGUAGAUAUGUGGAGGAAUCCCGAUGGCGAAGGCAGCCUCCUCUGGGUAUAAUACUGACGCUCAGACUCGCA